UUGGUCCUGCCUCGUCCUGCCUCUCCACCCCUCAGAAACCCCUGCUCCCUCGGGUUGCUAUCUGUCCCUGUAGGGUGCUAUCUGUCCUGUCUGUCCCAGAGGGCAGAUCCGAACUGAUCAUCUGGUUUUCCCCCAAAGGGAGUCAGUGCAAUCCUGCUCCUGGCCUGCACUGGGCAGGACACUCCAGCCCAGCUCUUGUAUUGCUGGGGGUCAGGGCUCACCUAGAAAGAAGGCAAUUUUGGAAACACCAGGCAAACCCAGCACAGCUGCUUUGCUGCAUGUUAGGAUCACUGAGAAUUUUUUUCUGGACAUCAGGAGGAAUUUUUUCAUGGAACGGGUUACUAAACAUUGGAACGGGCUGCCCAGGGAGAUGAUGGAGUCACCCUCUCUGGAGGUAUUUAAGGAAAGACUGAAUGUGGCAUUUAGUGCCAAGUUCUAGUUGACAUGGUGGUGAUCAGUCACAGGUUGGACUCAAUAAUCUCAGAGGUCUUUUCCAACCUAAAUAAUUCUGUGAUUCUGUGAUUAAGGCUGUCCUUGGGAUUUCUACUCAAACAGCAGCUUUAUGUUAAAGCAGCUGAGGAAAAGUGGGCUUUGUGAUCUACCAGCAGACAGCACUUUGUGCAUGCUAGCCAGUUCAUUGCAAGAUGCUUAUCACAAUGUUACAUAUGCAUGGAAGCUCUUGUUCUGUCCUUAGAAAGCUUUUUAUGAAACACUGCUAUCUGGUAUUUAAAAAAGAAACAACCAACCAACCAGAAAAAAACAACCAGCCAAGAACUACUGAAAUGCAUUUGUCUUCAGGGUAGGAAAUGAUUGCUACAUGACAAAGAACAGCAGAUCUAUUUGCUGACCAAAAAAUAGAAGGCUGGGCAGCAGCAGCAUUUAUUAGACACACAGACUGAAUUUUCAUUUUGACUAAAUAGCCUCUGCUGACUGAAAUUUUGCUAGGAUGGCAGGAGUGCAGAUGCCUGUCAUAGAAAGAGUGAUAUUACUGAUACCUGAUUAGUGUGUUUCAUUUUUCUUUCAAACAACACCCCCCUACAUUUUUACUACCUGAGGUAGUAUGUGUUGGUAACAGCAUCAAUCUCAUUUUAUGUCUGGAGAAAAUGAGGGACAGCUGUACUGUUUUCUGCUUCCCGGUCUGGUACUUGACUCCAUGAUACAGAACCUAUACUGCUGAACCUAAAGGAGCCAGAACUCCCCCCUCCAAGGUGAGACACAGAUAACUGCUUUCCAAGCAGAAGCAGCUCAGUCAGAAGGCAGUAAUGAAGCUGAGGAGGACCCACCCAGCAGCUCCGGAAAAGCACAGCGUCAGGGGGAGGGAGAAAAUGAAAAAGAGUGAGAAUGUUAUUUUUUCCCCUCUUAGAAGACUUGCUUAGGGAGUGUAAAUACAAUCUAAAAAUGCAUACAGGUUUGAAGAAAGCCAUCUGUUAUGGUUUGCAGUGGGCUGAAAUAGCCAUCAGUUCAGCAGAAAGCAUUUUCUCCUUUACAAAGGUGAAUAUUGAUUCAGGGCAGGACUGUCAAUUCUCACAUAUACACUUCUUCUCAGAGACAAACAUACACCAUUUUUCGGGCAGACGACUGUGACCUUUGUUGUUACAUCUUUUGGGAAGACAGAAAAGGGGAACUGGUUCCUCUCUCACCAAGAAGCCACCAUUCCCACUGUUGCAAGCAGCAAUUUUCAAUUCUCAUGUUACUCCUCCUGGCACUCCUAAAUCCAUCAAGCUGGUAACUUCAUUAUGCCUGUUAUGUGGUCUUGGGUCUCCUGGUUCUGCCUUCAGCUGACACCUUCUCUUCAUUCUUCCCUGUGUUGUAUCUUAAUUUCCUUUGUAAUGUCAUUCAGGUCAUCUGCAUGCUAAUGCAAGAAAGAACAACUGUUCUUUUUCCUCAGCAAACUUGUAAUAUUUUCCUUCUUGAAACCUGAGGAAAAGAGAUGGAAGUUUUUCACAUGCAAUGUCAUCAGCUUCUGUAUUUUAGAAUAACCACAGACAUGAGUAUGAAUUUGAAGUACUCCAUAGCAAGCUGACUUGAUGGCUGCUGACUGGCCAUGCACAUAUCUAAGCUGGAAAUCAGAAGUUUCUAGCUGUGAGAGCAAUCAUAUUAUGGAACACAUCUCCUGCCAGAGGAGUCUAAGAAGAAGUAAAUAAGGCUGAGUGAGUGGAGGAGGAGAAGGGUUUUGGGCGUGUGAUAACGAAAUCUCUCCACACAAAACACGAAUAACUCCCCCCUCCAGGAAGGCCACAUACACACAGGACAUUCACGUGAGAGGAGCUGAGAAGGGGUCAUAAACCAUCAAAGACCCUCAAAGUGCCGUCCAGACUCAUUCCUGAGGCCUUCUACCACCACAGGACUGCACUGUGAUCCAAGGGAUGCAACUAAUCCAGAGUCUGUCUCAAGAGACUGUAAAGCUUGCCCAGGGGAGGUGCCUGGGCAUCUCCUGAAUGUAUAUUAAUCCACUGGACUCUAUGUUUUGCGGGACCCUCACCACCAAGAAGACCAGAAGAACCAGACCGGCAAGAUGCCACUGGGUUCCACAGAGUGGUGAUACAUUUUCUGUUUAAUCUCCAUCACUCUCUUUCUUCCCUCCCCCCACCCCUUUUUUCCUAUUUCUUUCUGUCUCUCUCUCUGCCUCACAUUUACUGUUGAAUAAAAUCCAUACUAUUGACUUCGGCA